rnacentral:rRNA from 1 species
GAACGUACGCUGGCGGCACGCCUAACACAUGCAAGUCGAACGAAGUAGCAAUACUUAGUGGCAGACGGGUGAGUAACAUGUAGGUAUCUGCCCUUUGGCCUGGAAUAACACGAGGAAACUUGUGCUAAUACCGGAUAAGUCUUUACGGAGAAAGCUUUAUGCACCAUUGGAUGAGCCUGCACUUGAUUAGUUUGUUGGUGGGGUAAUGGCCUACCAAGACUGUGAUCAAUAGCUGAUUUGAGAGGAUGAUCAGCCACAUUGGGACUGAGACACGGCCCAAACUCCUACGGGAGGCAGCAGUGGGGAAUCUUGCACAAUGGAGGAAACUCUGGUGCAGCGAUGCCGCGUGAGUGAAGAAGGCCUUUGGGUUGUAAAGCUCUUUCGUCGGGGAAGAAAAUGACUGUACCCGAAUAAGAAGGUCCGGCUAACUUCGUGCCAGCAGCCGCGGUAAUACGAAGGGACCUAGCGUAGUUCGGAAUUACUGGGCUUAAAGAGUUCGUAGGUGGUUGAAAAAGUUAGUGGUGAAAUCCCAGAGCUUAACUCUGGAACUGCCAUUAAAACUUUUCAGCUAGAGUAUGAUAGAGGAAAGCAGAAUUUCUAGUGUAGAGGUGAAAUUCGUAGAUAUUAGAAAGAAUACCAAUUGCGAAGGCAGCUUUCUGGAUCAUUACUGACACUGAGGAACGAAAGCAUGGGUAGCGAAGAGGAUUAGAUACCCUCGUAGUCCAUGCCGUAAACGAUGUGUGUUAGACGUUGGAAAUUUAUUUUCAGUGUCGCAGGGAAACCGAUAAACACACCGCCUGGGGAGUACGACCGCAAGGUUAAAACUCAAAUGAAUUGACGGGGACCCGCACAAGUAGUGGAGCAUGUGGUUUAAUUCGAAGAUACGCGCAGAACCUUACCAACACUUGACAUGUUCGUCGCGACUCUAAGAGAUUAGAGUUUUCGGUUCGGCCGGACGAAACACAGGUGCUGCAUGGCUGUCGUCAGCUCGUGUCGUGAGAUGUUGGGUUAAGUCCCGCAACGAGCGCAACCCUCACUUUUAGUUGCCAUCAUUAAGUUGGGCACUCUGAAAGAACUGCCAGUGAUAAGCUGGAGGAAGGUGGGGAUGACGUCAAGUCCUCAUGGCCCUUACGUGUUGGGCUACACACGUGCUACAAUGGUAUCUACAACAGGAAGCAAGACUGCGAAGUUAAGCAAAUCCCGAAAAGAUACCUCAGUUCGGAUUGCACUCUGCAACUCGAGUGCAUGAAGCUGGAAUUACUAGUAAUCGUAGAUCAGCGUGCUACGGUGAAUGCGUUCCCGGGUCUUGUACACACCGCCCG